rnacentral:rRNA from 1 species
ACUCCGUACGGGAGGCAGCAGUGGGGAAUAUUGCACAAUGGGCGCAAGCCUGAUGCAGCCAUGCCGCGUGUAUGAAGAAGGCCUUCGGGUUGUAAAGUACUUUCAGCAGUGAGGAAGGUGGGUAUGUUAAUAGCUAUAUUCAUUUGACGUUAGCUGCAGAAGAAGCACCGGCUAACUCCGUGCCAGCAGCCGCGGUAAUACGGAGGGUGCGAGCGUUAAUCGGAAUUACUGGGCGUAAAGCGCAUGCAGGUGGUUUGUUAAGUCAGAUGUGAAAGCCCGGGGCUCAACCUCGGAAUUGCAUUUGAAACUGGCAAACUAGAGUACUGUAGAGGGGGGUAGAAUUUCAGGUGUAGCGGUGAAAUGCGUAGAGAUCUGAAGGAAUACCGGUGGCGAAGGCGGCCCCCCUGGACAGAUACUGACACUCAGAUGCGAAAGCGUGGGGGAGCAAACAGGAUUAGAUACCCUGGUAGCUACGAGU